rnacentral:rRNA from 1 species
AUUGAACGCUGGCGGCAUGCCUUACACAUGCAAGUCGAACGGUAACGCGGGGCAACCUGGCGACGAGUGGCGAACGGGUGAGUAAUGCAUCGGAACGUGCCCAGUAGUGGGGGAUAACUGCUCGAAAGAGCAGCUAAUACCGCAUACGACCUGAGGGUGAAAGCGGGGGAUCGCAAGACCUCGCGCUAUUGGAGCGGCCGAUGUCAGAUUAGGUAGUUGGUGGGGUAAAGGCCCACCAAGCCAACGAUCUGGAGCUGGUCUGAGAGGACGACCAGCCACACGGGGACUGAGACACGGCCCAGAGUCCUAGGGGAGGCAGCAGUGGGGAAUUUUGGAGAAUGGACGCAAGUCUGAUCCAGCCAUGCGGCGUGCGGGAAGAAGGCAUUCGGGUUGUAAACCGCUUUUGUCAGGGAAGAAACGCUCUGGGUUAAUACCUCGGGGUAACGACGGUACCUGAAGAAUAAGCACCGGCUAACUACGUGCCAGCCGCCGCAGUAACAC